rnacentral:rRNA from 1 species
UACGUAGGGUGCGAGCGUUAAUCGGAAUUACUGGGCGUAAAGCGUGCGCAGGCGGUUUUGUAAGCCAGAUGUGAAAUCCCCGGGCUUAACCUGGGAAUGGCGUUUGGGACUGCAAGGCUGGAGUGUGGCAGAGGAGACUGGAAUUCCCGGUGUAGCAGUGAAAUGCGUAGAUAUCGGGAGGAAUACCGAUGGCGAAGGCAGGUCUCUGGGCUGACACUGACGCUCAUGCACGAAAGCGUGGGGAGCAAACAGG